AUUGAACGCUGGCGGCAGGCCUAACACAUGCAAGUCGAGCGGAUGAAGGGAGCUUGCUCCUGGAUUCAGCGGCGGACGGGUGAGUAAUGCCUAGGAAUCUGCCUGGUAGUGGGGGAUAACGUCCGGAAACGGGCGCUAAUACCGCAUACGUCCUGAGGGAGAAAGUGGGGGAUCUUCGGACCUCACGCUAUCAGAUGAGCCUAGGUCGGAUUAGCUAGUUGGUGGGGUAAAGGCCUACCAAGGCGACGAUCCGUAACUGAUCUGAGAGGAUGAUCAGUCACACUGGAACUGAGACACGGUCCAGACUCCUACGGGAGGCAGCAGUGGGGAAUAUUGGACAAUGGGCGAAAGCCUGAUCCAGCCAUGCCGCGUGUGUGAAGAAGGUCUUCGGAUUGUAAAGCACUUUAAGCUGGGAGGAAGGGCAGUAAGUUAAUACCUUGCUGUUUUGACGUUACCAACAGAAUAAGCACCGGCUAACUUCGUG
rnacentral:rRNA from 1 species